AAUAGAUACCCCGGUAGUCCACGCCGUAAACGAUGAAUACUAGGUGUGGGGGUUUCAACACCUCCGUGCCGCCGCUAACGCAUUAAGUAUUCCGCCUGGGGAGUACGGUCGCAAGAUUAAAACUCAAAGGAAUUGACGGGGACCCGCACAAGUAGCGGAGCAUGUGGUUUAAUUCGAAGCAACGCGAAGAACCUUACCUACACUUGACAUCCCUUGCAUUACUCUUAAUCGAGGAAAUCCCUUCGGGGACAAGGUGACAGGUGGUGCAUGGUUGUCGUCAGCUCGUGUCGUGAGAUGUUGGGUUAAGUCCCGCAACGAGCGCAACCCUUGUCGUUAGUUACUACCAUUAAGUUGAGGACUCUAGCGAGACUGCCUGGGUUAACCAGGAGGAAGGUGGGGAUGACGUCAAAUCAUCAUGCCCCUUAUGUGUAGGGCUACACACGUGCUACAAUGGCUGGUACAGAGAGAUGCAAUACCGCGAGGUGGAGCCAAACUUAAAACCAGUCUCAGUUCGGAUUGUAGGCUGAAACUCGCUACAUGAAG
rnacentral:rRNA from 1 species